CCUACGGGGGGCUGCAGUGGGGAAUAUUGGACAAUGGGGGAAACCCUGAUCCAGCAAUGCCGCGUGGGUGAAGAAGGCCUGCGGGUUGUAAAGCACUUUCGGUUGGGAAGAAAAGUUUGGCGCAAAUACCGCCGAACCUUGACGUUACGGACAGAAGAAGCACCGGCUAACUCUGUGCCAGCAGCCGCGGUAAUACAGAGGGUGCAAGCGGGCGUCGGAAGCACGGGGGGGGUAGUGCACGUCGGGUGUGAAAUCCCCGGGCUUAACCUGGGAACUGCAUUCGAUACUACAUGGCUAGAGUAUGGUAGAGGGAAGUGGAAUUUCCGGUGUAGCGGUGAAAUGCGUAGAUAUCGGAAGGAACACCAAUGGCGAAGGCAGCUUCCUGGACUAAUACUGACACUGAGGCACGAAAGCGUGGGUAGCAAACAGGAUUAGAUACCCGAGUAGUC
rnacentral:rRNA from 1 species